rnacentral:pre_miRNA from 1 species
UAUUAAAAAUUUCAUUCAUUUCUACGGUUAAAAGCUGACAUAAUUGAUAGAAUAACCAAAUAAUGAUUUGUUGUGUGUCGUGUAACUCAUGUCAACGUAUAGGGACAAAUUUUUAACAAUAUGACUAAUUUACUUUUUGACC